rnacentral:rRNA from 1 species
CCUACGGUGGGCAGCAGUGGGGGAUAUUGCACAAUGGGGGGAACCCUGAUGCAGCGACGCCGCGUGGGUGAAGAAGCGCCUCGGCGUGUAAAGCCCUGUCAGCAGGGAAGAAAAUGACGGUACCUGAAGAAGAAGCCCCGGCUAACUCCGUGCCAGCAGCCGCGGUAAUACGUAGGGGGCAAGCGUUAUCCGGAUUUACUGGGGGUAAAGGGGGCGCAGACGGGGAUGCAAGCCAGGAGUGAAAGCCCGGGGCUCAACUCCAGGACUGCUCUUGUAACUGCGUGGCUGGAGUGCAGGAGGGGCAGGCGGAAUUCCUGGUGUAGCGGUGAAAUGCGUAGAUAUCAGGAGGAACACCGGUGGCGAAGGCGGCCUACUGGACUGCAACUGACGUUGAGGCCCGAAAGCGUGGGGAGCAAACAGGAUUAGAUACCCCUGUAGUC